AUGGCUCCUAAUAGAGCCCCUGGACCCGAUAAUAUUCCUACUGAGUUCUAUCAGGUGUGCUGGGAUAUAGUCAAAAAUGACAUUAUGGCCCUUUUUAAAGCUUUCUACCAAGGGACACUGGAUGUUCAACGGCUUAACUAUGGAGUUAUUACUCUACUCCCUAAGGUUUCUGAAGCCGAGAAAAUCCAACAAUACAGGCCUAUCUGCUUGUUGAGAUGCCCAUAUAAGUUGAUCACCAAAGUUCUUGACCGUAGAGUUGCCAUUUAUGCGAACAAACUCAUUAGUACUACUCAAAACGCCUUUGUAAAAGGGAGAAACAUCAUGGACGGGGUCCUGUCCCUUCAUGAAAUCCUCAAUUGCACUUAUGUUAAGAAGAAAGUGGGAAUCAUCCUUAAGUUGGACUUUGAAAAAGCCUAUGAUAAGGUGAAUUGGGACUUUCUCCUAGAAUGCCACAAGAUGUGGGGCUUUGACAAAACCUGGUGUGGUUGGAUUGAAAAGAUACUGCACAAUGGGACGGUGAGCAUCAAACUAAAUGGUAGUGUUGGGCCGUAUUUUCAAAGCAAAAAAGGGGUUAGGCAGGGGGACCCACACUCUCCUUUCCUGUUCAACCUAGUAGUUGAAUGCCUCACUAAAAUGAUCAAAAAUGCCCAAAAGAACAAACUUAUUGUGGGCUUGGCUGCAGACCUCAUCCCUGAUGGGGUGGCAGCCCUGCAAUAUGCAGAUGAUACAAUCAUUUGUAUCGAG
rnacentral:rRNA from 1 species